GACGAACGCUGGCGGCGUGCUUAACACGUGCAAGUCGAACGGACAGGCCCUGCUUUUGUGGGGUGCUCGAGUGGCGAACGGGUGAGUAACACGUGAGUAACCUGCCCUUGACUUUGGGAUAACUUCAGGAAACUGGGGCUAAUACCGGAUAGGAGCUCCUGCUGCAUGGUGGGGGUUGGAAAGUUUCGGCGGUUGGGGAUGGACUCGCGGCUUAUCAGCUUGUUGGUGGGGUAGUGGCUUACCAAGGCUUUGACGGGUAGCCGGCCUGAGAGGGUGGCCGGGCACAAUGGGACUGAGAGACGGCCCAGACGCCUACGGGAGGCAGCAGGGGGGAAUAUUGCACAAUGGGCGGAAGCCUGAGGCAGCAACGCCGCGUGCGGGAUGACGGCCUUCGGGUUGUAAACCGCUUUCGCCUGUGACGAAGCGUGAGUGACGGUAAUGGGUAAAGAAGCACCGGCUAACUACGUG
rnacentral:rRNA from 1 species